GUAGAUGCUCAUUCCAUUUCUUAUGUUUGCCUUAGGCUUCAUAAACCCAGGAAUGAUGCAGAGCCGAUUUUAGGGUGCCUAUUGUCCACCAGAACGAUGAAAACGUUGCUUGCAACGACUCCAUCACACUCCGGGCAUAACGUUGAGUGAGGCACCGACUCAGUUGUCCUAGACCUGAUUGCUUCUUUUAGACACUUACCUGAUGGCAAGUGUCUUUUU
rfam:Serratia sp. DD3 SRDD_contig000017, whole genome shotgun sequence.